CCCGCCCUCGCCGCCGCGUUCACUCCCGCGCUCUGAGGGAAACGGCACCUCGGAGGUCACCCCAGCGCCACCCUAGGGGUCUCAACUUUCGGCCUCGUGCCAGCCCGCGCCGCCGCCGCCUCCCUCCCUCCCCGCGCCAGCCGGGCCGCGGCGGGAGCGCGCGCUGGGCGCCUGCCACCCCCGUCCAUCUGUUCCCGGUGACGCGGACGAGCCGGGAGCGCUCGGAGCCCUCGCCAGCGGGACGCACACCCCGCCUGCGUCCUCCGGGGCGGCGCACGCGGGCCCCCGCCUUUCGCAGGCUCCCGGCCGACCACAAACGAAAAGGGAAACGCGCCAGCAAGGUCGGACCGCCCCCCGCUCCCGACCGGAUCCCUCCCCGCCGCGGCCUCCGUCCACGCUUUCAUUUACGCACCCUUGGGCGAGCGGGGUCCAGAAAUGUGUGUCCUGCACAAUCCGGCGACGCACCGAGCCAGGGGACGCCGCCCCAACCCCUGCCAGAGUCCCGAGAAACCUGGCCAGAUUUCCCUACUGUCAACAUUUGUGACAGGAAAGCGAGAGGGAACACGUCCCGAGUGGUCUUAUUUUAGCAGGCUUUUAUAAAACUGCAGCGCACUCAGAAUCCUCCCGGCACUGGGCCGUCUAUCUGGAAGCCCUCAGCCUGGCUUCAGGGCGCGGGGCACAAACGCCAGCAGGUGAGGAGGGUCCUGGGCUGGUGCGUGACUUCAGUGAAACCUCCACAGAAACCAUGUGGUCAGGGCCUGUCGCCCCCAGCACUCUGCUCCUGGCUGCGUCUGUCUCAGCAGAAGAUGUUCCCACACCAGCCAUGUGUGCUUCUGGACCGCCCCGGCCUAGCUGCAACGCCGCCAGUUCCUCUCACUGUCCCUAUAGUGCCCCCCUGUCUCGCCACCCCAAAAUAGUCUCUGUGAGAGGCACCAGCCUGGGCCGGCCUGCCCCCAUGAGCCACACUGCUUCUGCAGGGCUGGGACAGACCCCAGGCCAGGGUGUGCUGGCCAAGUGCCACCACCGCACUACAUCCCCAGGCCCUGAAAACCAAAUUCCCAGUUUGA
rnacentral:lncRNA from 1 species